UUGAAGAGAUGGUCAAUUUAGAAAGUUCUUGUUGGGAAGUGUAGUUUUGUUUGUUUAGUUAUAUAUCAGUUUUUUUGGUGUUGCAAAGCGUUGAGGCCCAGACCCCCGAGGGCUGGAUGUGUGAGUUUUUGGUGUUUGGGUUUUUAGUUUAGAGUACAUUUGAAUAGAUUUAAGAGAAAGAAAAAAAUAUAUAUAGUUUGGAGAAUUUUUUUGUUUUAGUUUGUUAAAAAUUAAUUCAAAGUAAGGGAGACUUUUGUUUUGUUGUACAGAAUAUCGUUAGGAGAAGGAUGUGAGGGAAUGAGUGUUGUUUUUGAAAAUAACUUGUGUGGGGUGUUUUGUUUCUUUUGGAAAUUAGUUAUAUAUAUAGACAGAUAAGAGUAGAGAUAUUGAGUAAAAAGUGAGGUUUAUACGUAUUUUUUAUUUAAUGCUUAGAUUUUUUUGAGGUAUAUAUUUUUUGAGGUAUACAUUGUGUUAUUUUUUCAUAUUAUUUAUCAUGUGUCAUUUGGUU